GUGGGGAUCUCAACCGUUAUCAAGUUUUCAAACAGGUGGGGGUGGGGUGAUCCUAGUGACUUCCCCUAUAUUUCAUUUGAUUUGUUAUAUUGUCCAAUACAUGAAUAUAUAUGGUUGAGGGUGGGGAUCUCAUCUGUUUCUAAGUUAUCAAACAGGAGUGGGUAGGGUGACCCUAAGGACUCUCCCUAUAUUUCAUUUGAUUAGUUCUCAUACAUGAAUAUAUAUGGUUUAAUUUAAAGGUGGGGAUCUCGACUGUUUCCAAUUUCUCAAUCAGGAGGGGUGGGCUGACUGCAGGGACUCCCCCUAUAUUUCAUUUAAUUUAGAGGUGGGGAUCCCAAAUGUUUCCAAGUUCUUAAACAUGAGGGGUAGGGUGACCACAGGGACUUCCCUAUAUUUCAUUUGAUUUGUUAUAUAGUCCCAUACAUGAGUAUAUAUGGUUAAGGGGUGAGGAUCUCGAAUUUUUCCAAGUUCUCAAACAGGAGGGUGUACAGUGACCAUAGGGACCCCCUUAUAAUUCAUUUGAUUUGUAAUAUUGUCCCAUACAUAAAAAUAUAUUGUUUAAGAUUGUGGAUCUCGACCGUUAUAAAUUCUCACAGAAAGGGGUAGAGUGGCCCCACGAACUCCACCUAUAUUUCAUAUGAUUUGUUAUAUUGUCCCAUACAUGAAUAUAUAUGGUUUAGGGGUGGGGAUCUUGACCGUUACCAAGUUCUCAAACAGGAGGGGUGGGUGAACCCCAGGGAAUCCCCCUAUAUUUCAUUUGAUUAGUUAUAUUGUCCCAUACAUGAAUAAAUAUGGUUUAGGGUUGAGGAUCUCGAAUGUUUCCAAGUUCUCAAACAGGAGGGUUUACAGUGACCCUAGGGACCCCCUUAUUAUUCCUUUGAUUUGUUAUAUUGUUCCAUACAUGUAUAUGUAUGGUUUAAGAUUGGGGAUCUCAACCGUUUUCAAAUUCUCAAACUGGACGGGGAAGAGUGGCCCCAUGAACUCCACCUAUAUUUCAUAUGAUUUGUUAUAUUGUCCCAUACAUGAAUAUAUAUGGUUUAGGGUGGGGAUCUCGACCGUUUCCAAGUUCUCAAAUAGGAGGGGUGGGGUGACCCGCAGGGAAUCCCCCUAUAUUUCAUUUGAUUUAGUUAAAUUGUCCCCUACAUGAAUAUAUAUGGUUUAGGGGUGGGGAUCUCGACCGUUACCAAGUUCUCAAACAGGAGGGGUGGGGUGACCCCCAGGGACUCCACCUAUAUUUCAUUUGAUUAUAUAUAUAUUGUCCCAUACAUGAAUAAAUAUGGUUUAGGGGUGGGGAUCUCGACUGUUUCCAAGUUCUAAAACAUGGAGGGUGGGGUGACCCUAGGGACUUCCCCUAUAUUUCAUUUGAUUAGUUAUUUAGUCUCUGACAUACAUGAAUGUAUAUGGUUGAGGGGUGGGGAUCUCAUCCGUUUCAAAGUUAUCAAACAGGAGGAGGUAGAGUGGCCCAAUGGACUCCACCUAUAUAUCAUAUGAUUUGCUUACAUUCAGGUAUCAUAUAAUAUAGUUGCACUAUUUGUGCCUGUCCCAAGUCAGGAGCCUGUAAUUCAGUGGUUGUCGUUUGUUUAUGUGUUACAUAUUUGUUUUUUGUUAUUUUUUUUAUAUAAAUAGGGCCGUUAGUUUUCUCGUUUGAAUUGUUUUACAUUGUCUUAUCGGGGCCUUUUAUAGCUGACUAUAGUGUAUGGGCUUUGCUCCUUGUUGAAGGCCGUACGAUGACCUAUAGUUGUUAAUGUCUGUGUCAUUUUGGUCUCUUGUGGAUAGUUGUCUCAUUGGCAAUCAUACCACAUUUUUUUUUUUUUUUUUAUAUAAGAAACUUCCAGCUAUUUCAAAUGACCUAUCAAAAUUGAGAAGAAAAA
rnacentral:lncRNA from 1 species